GGCACUAUGGCGGAGUGGUUAUCGCGUGGCACUCGAACUUUAAAUCUCAGUUCGAGGGGAAAGCAUCUUCCCCACUCGACAGAGAAUAUGCUAUUCCCUCUGGGAGCACAGGUUCAAAUCCUGUUGGUGUCG